rnacentral:rRNA from 1 species
UGCCAGCCGCCGCGGUAAGACAGAGGGUGCUAGCGUUGUUCGGAAUUAUUGGGCGUAAAGCGCGCGUAGGCGGCCUUGCAAGUCUGAUGUGAAAGCCCUCGGCUCAACCGAGUGAAGUGCAUCGGAAACUGCAUGGCUUGAGUACCGGAGAGGGUGGCGGAAUUCCCAGUGUAGAGGUGAAAUUCGUAGAUAUUGGGAGGAACACCAGUGGCGAAGGCGGCCACCUGGACGGUAACUGACGCUGAGGUGCGAAAGCAUGGGGAGCAAACAGGAUUAGAUA